rnacentral:tRNA from 1 species
GGCCAGUUAGCUCAGUGGUUUGAGCGCGGUGCAGACAACAGUGAGCGACACCGAGGUCGUGGGUUCGAUUCCUGCUCAGUCCC